UACGGGGGGGGCAAGCGUUGUUCGGAAUUACUGGGCGUAAAGGGCUCGUAGGCGGCCAACUAAGUCAGACGUGAAAUCCCUCGGCUUAACUGGGGAACUGCGUCUGAUACUGGAUGGCUUGAGUUUGGGAGAGGGAUGCGGAAUUCCAGGUGUAGCGGUGAAAUGCGUAGAGAUGUGGAGGAACACCAGUGGCGAAGGCGGCUUUCUGGUCUGUAACUGACGCUGAGGCGCGAAAGCGUGGGGAGCAAACAGG
rnacentral:rRNA from 1 species